UGGGGCGUGGCUACUGCGACGGCUGAGCCGGGUGGUGUUUAGCGGGUGUGGACAAAGAAAUUCACAUACAAAUUCAGUUCAAGCAAAAUACAACAACUUGCCAAAAUAUACAGAGACAGAUAACGGGCGCCCAUUCUUAUGAUAGUGCAUGAAUACUUUGGAUGCCUGUCGUCCAGACGGCGACAAUAAACGGAUGUCCAAUUAUUUUUCUGAUGUAGCUUACUAUACACAUUUGAGCUACUUCAAACCAGAGCCAGGUGAAAAACAGGGCUCUGCUUCCAACAAUAACAGUGUUUUGGAUCUGUGAUAUAAAGUGUGCGGGGGAACUGUGAGGAGACUUUUGACACUAAGUCCUUUGAUGCAUGAUAAAAACAAAAAAGAAAGAAAAGAAAAGAAAACGAAAAAGCAAGUAAGCCAAACAAACACUGCCCACAUAUCCCCCACACUCACUCAGCACUCCUGCGGCCAAGCAAGGGCUGGACUUCUCAUUGCCAUGUGGUUGGUGGAGGUGGGGAGGAGCACAUUUAAUUUCCACAUUCUUUCAGAAAUGUUUUUAUUAUUAUUAUUAUUUUAUUAUUCUCCCAUCAACUAAUGUGAAUCGAAAGUGAUGAAGAAGACAGAAUCAGUUUCUACUCUGGUGGUCUUAAAGAUGGAGA